UUUACCUGGAUAACCGUGGUAAUUCUAGAGCUAAUACAUGCUAAAAACCCCGACUUCGGAAGGGGUGUAUUUAUUAGAUAAAAAACCAAUGCCCUUCGGGGCUCCUUGGUGAUUCAUAAUAACUCAACGAAUCGCAUGGCCUUGCGCCGGCGAUGGUUCAUUCAAAUUUCUGCCCUAUCAACUUUCGAUGGUAGGGUUUUUGCCUACCAUGGUCUCAACGGGUAACGGGGAAUUAGGGUUCUAUUCCGGAGAGGGAGCCUGAGAAACGGCUACCACAUCCAAGGAAGGCAGCAGGCGCGCAAAUUACCCAAUCCCAAUACGGGGAGGUAGUGACAAUAAAUACUGAUACAGGGCUCUUUCGGGUCUUGUAAUUGGAAUGAGUACAAUCUAAAUCCCUUAACGAGGAACAAUUGGAGGGCAAGUCUGGUGAAACUCACGUUCCGCUGACGCCAGACAAGUCCGGGAUGCUCUUUAGGUCCCAUUUGAGUGGGUAGUUCAACUAUCUGCGAGAUGAUUGGUACGGGGAAUGUUCGGUCUAUGAAUUCAGCAUGGCCGCUCACCCCGUGGUGCUGGCGGCGGUCGAGUCAUCCUCGACCGUUGCGGCUCCGUAACGCACGCCAGAUCAUCGCUGUUCUCGACCAGUUUUCUGGCAGGCACAGUUCAGGUACGUGCUAAUCCCCACCCGGAAGGGAGUCUCACCUGUGGCAGGUGUGUUGGGAUAGGAGGGUACCGCGAUCCACCUCGGACAGGUGCGGUGUCGGGUACCCCGUUAGAUUUGAGGCUGAUGACGAGGUUCCGAUGGAACCUUCUGCAGCCAAUCAUCAAAGCUGACGUUGGAGGUUGUCCGGUUCCCCGGGCCGCCAAAGAUCCUUAUAAGAUGGCCAGCAGCCGCGGUAAUUCCAGCUCCAAUAGCGUAUAUUAAAGUUGUUGCAGUUAAAAAGCUCGUAGUUGAACCUUGGGUCUGGCUGAUCUGUCUUCCUAAACGUUGUACGGAUUCGGUCGGACCUUUCCUUCUGGGGAAACCUAUGCCCUUUAUUGGGUGUAGUGGGGAACCAGGACUUUUACCUUGAAAAAAUUAGAGUGUUCAAAGCAGGCCUUUGCUCGAAUACAUUAGCAUGGAAUAAUAAAAUAGGACAGUGGUUCUAUUUUGUUGGUUUCUAGGACCGCUGUAAUGAUUAAUAGGGAUAGUCGGGGGCGUCAGUAUUCAAUUGUCAGAGGUGAAAUUCUUGGAUUUAUUGAAGACUAACUAUUGCGAAAGCAUUCGCCAAGGAUGUUUUCAUUAAUCAGUGAACGAAAGUUAGGGGAUCGAAGACGAUUUUGGGGUUGGUCGUCCAUAGCAAAACUAGUCCCACGGGGCAACACCGUCCAGUUGAGGAGUUCCCAGAUCGGGUAAUCCACAGCCAAGUCCAACGUCAAACGGGUGACCGCGGAUGCAGUUUACAGACUGUCUGACGGUGGGCCGGGGUCGACCGAGACCCGGUUUAAGAUAUAGCCGGUCCGGCGCGUCAACGCGUCCGGGAUCCACGCAGAUACCGUCGUAGUCUUAACCAUAAACUAUGCCGACUAGGGAUCGGACGGUGUUUUUUUAUAUGACCCGUUCGGCACCUUACGAGAAAUCAAAGUUUUUGGGCUCUGGGGGGAGUAUGGUCGCAAGGCUGAAACUUAAAGAAAUUGACGGAAGGGCACCACAAGGCGUAAGCAGAGAAGCCACUCCGCGCCUGAAUAAUGACCUCAUUACUGAGCUGUGGAACCAUGUCCUGACUGUCGUCAAAAGUCAUUAGAAGUACACGGCGCAAUUCAAGCUGUGUGCAAUACACCUAGAUUGCGGGGAACCUCUUUUAAAGGUGACAAGUACCUCCAGGCUGUCGAAAGACACCUGCACGGUCACAAUUUUGUCAACUACUUCGUCGAAGGGUCACCCGCAGCCUGUUACCUAAAGCAGUAAUAGCCACGGUUUCAAGUUCAGAGAUUAGAUAGGUGUGGAAGAGCCAAGUGGUCAACGUGCAUGAUUCAUGUGUCCAUUAUAACACAGCAGAACAGGAGACAUGAUUGGUGGGCAUGUGGAGAGUUUGCGUGGUGUGCGAGGGAGACAUAGAUGUCACACGGGCAGGGGUUGAUCUGCUGAUCCUUCUGCCCGCAUCUGAAAUGAGCCGGAAUGUUCUGGAACCGUCUUGAUGAGAUUCUAUAUGCUCUCUCCUACACCGCAUAGGCGCUGCCUUGCUAUCCUCACCCCUAUUCAUGCCUGUUCUCGCAACAAUGACUCAUGUUAUUACUGCGAUAAGAUUCUUUUAAGCUAUAAUCCAUUCAGUUGUUACAAACAGUUGCAGAUAAUCUGGGAGCCUGCGGCUUAAUUUGACUCAACACGGGAAAACUCACCAGGUUAACCUUUGACCGUUACACGUCUGGGCCUGGUCUUGGCAGUGCUGGUUUAUCCAGUGCAACACCAGCUGGUACAGGGGACGCCUCGAAGCCGAUCCUGUAGCGAGUCCAUUAACGUGGACCGUUGCAACGCACAGCAAGCGGUGGGCUGUUCACAAGGAAUCACAGCUAUGGUAUAUGCUAAUCUCAUGGGACAUCCAUGCUCUCCUGUUCAGAUCACUGAAGCAGAGGAGGUUUCCCCGCGCAGGGGAAACAGUCGAGUCGUCUGAAGGCUCCGGCAUGUUACAUGUUGGGCUGCAGAGGACUUGAACUCAAUGCCAGACAUAAGAAGGAUUGACAGAUUGAGAGCUCUUUCUUGAUUUUAUGGGUGGUGGUGCAUGGCCGUUCUUAGUUGGUGGAGUGAUUUGUCUGCUUAAUUGCGUUAACGAACGAGACCUUGACCUGCUAAAUAGCCCGUUCGACUUUGGUUGGACGCUGGCUUCUUAGAGGGACUUUUGGCUCAAGCCAAUGGAAGUACGAGGCAAUAACAGGUCGACCUUCACACAGGCCUGUUGAUAGAAAUUGGUCAGUAAAGCUGGCCUGCCACUGGUACAGAGAAAGCCGAAUCACGGUUGAUUCUGUGGCGAGUUGAUCUCCAACCGCUGAAACGCGCGCAAAGUGGCGGAUCCGUGCCAAGUCCGGAUCUCAGGUACGUGCUUAAUCUCCAGUGCCCAUUGGAGUGGAAUGUUAGUCGUUUGACGAGCAGUUCCUGAACCAGCAAGCCUAGAUAAAGAUACACAUUAGGGAUAAGAACUCUAUAAAGAUGUCAACGAUUCCUAUGUGUGUCAAGAUAUGCUUGUUGUGACCAAGAAAUGCUGUGAUGCCCUUAGAUGUUCUGGGCCGCACGCGCGCUACACUGACAGAGCCAGCGAGUACAUCACCUUGGCCGAAAGGUCUGGGUAAUCUUGUUAAACUCUGUCGUGCUGGGGAUAGAGCAUUGCAAUUAUUGCUCUUCAACGAGGAAUGCCUAGUAAGCGCAAGUCAUCAGCUUGCGUUGACUACGUCCCUGCCCUUUGAUCUAUGUGUGGAUGGUGGUGUGGGACUUUUUGACCGGAAGAGAAACACACCCCCGUACAAGGGGCAUAACGGGCUGCUGAAAGGAAGCCCAGAGUUAGGAUUGGGGGCAACUCUGAUCUCUAACGACACCACAGAAAUUGUCGGGAAAGAGCUGGUCUGUUUCCAGUUCUAUCCGCAGCUGUAUAAUUCACCUCAUACUGCUCACAGACUAAUCAGUGGUGGGCCUCCGUGAUGACCGAGGUUUUAGUUAUAGUCGGUCAGCUCUGAUCCUGGAGUUGUGCCUAAAGUUGUACACACCGCCCGUCGCUACUACCGAUUGAAUGGCUCAGUGAGGCCUUGGGACUGGCUCAGAGAGGUCGGCAACGACCACUCAGAGCCGGAAACUUGGUCAAACUUGGUCAUUUAGAGGAAG
rnacentral:rRNA from 1 species